rnacentral:rRNA from 1 species
UACGUAGGGUGCUAGCGUUGCUCGGAAUCACUGGGCGUAAAGCGCACGUAGGCGGAUCGUUAAGUCAGGGGUGAAAUCCUGGAGCUCAACUCCAGAACUGCCUUUGAUACUGGCGACCUUGAGUUCGGGAGAGGUGAGUGGAACUGCGAGUGUAGAGGUGAAAUUCGUAGAUAUUCGCAAGAACACCAGUGGCGAAGGCGGCUCACUGGCCCGAUACUGACGCUGAGGUGCGAAAGCGUGGGGAGCAAACAGG